rnacentral:tRNA from 1 species
GGUCGAAAUCGGGGAUGGCGGCGCGUGUGGCCUCGUGGGCCGCGCCGAAAGUCUUGCCUGUUGAGAGGUGUUCGAGCCACGUUGCAGCCCC